ACUCAAAUGAAUUGACGGGGGCCCGCACAAGCAGCGGAGCGUGUGGUUUAAUUCGAGGGUACGCGAAGAACCUUACCUGGGUUUGACAUACAAGUGGUAACGAGGUGAAAGCUGAGUGACCCUUCGGGGAGCUUGUACAGGUGCUGCAUGGUUGUCGUCAGCUCGUGCCGUGAGGUGUUCGGUUAAGUCCGCAAACGAGCGCAACCCUUAUUGCCAGUUACAAGUGUCUGGCGAGACUGCCCGUGGCAAACGGGAGGAAGGUGGGGAUGACGUCAAAUCAGCAUGGCCUUUAUAUCCAGGGCUACACACACGCUACAAUGGCGCGUACAAUGGGUAGCGAAGCCGCGAGGUGGAGCCAAUCCCGAAAGCGCGUCUCAGUUCAGAUUGCAGGCUGCAACUCGCCUGCAUGAAGUCGGAGUUGCUAGUAACCGUGUAUCAGCACGGCACGGUGAAUACGUUCCCGGGCCUUGUACACACCGCCCGU
rnacentral:rRNA from 1 species